AGAGUUUGAUCCUGGCUCAGGAUGGACGCUGGCGGCGUGCUUAACACAUGCAAGUCGAACGGGAAUUACUUUAUUGAAACUUCGGUCGAUAUGAUUUAAUUCUAGUGGCGGACGGGUGAGUAACGCGUGGGUAACCUGCCUUAUACAGGGGGAUAACAGUCAGAAAUGACUGCUAAUACCGCAUAAGCGCACAGGACCGCAUGGUCCGGUGUGAAAAACUCCGGUGGUAUAAGAUGGACCCGCGUUGGAUUAGCUAGUUGGUGAGGUAACGGCCCACCAAGGCGACGAUCCAUAGCCGGCCUGAGAGGGUGAGCGGCCACAUUGGGACUGAGACACGGCCCAGACUCCUACGGGAGGCAGCAGUGGGGAAUAUUGCACAAUGGGGGAAACCCUGAUGCAGCGACGCCGCGCGAAGGAAGAAGUAUCUCGGUAUGUAAACUUCUAUCAGCAGGGAAGAAAAUGACGGUACCUGACUAAGAAGCCCCGGCUAACUACGUGCCAGCAGCCGCGGUAAUACGUAGGGGGCAAGCGUUAUCCGGAUUUACUGGGUGUAAAGGGAGCGUAGACGGAUGGACAAGUCUGAUGUGAAAGGCUGGGGCUCAACCCCGGGACUGCAUUGGAAACUGCCCGUCUUGAGUGCCGGAGAGGUAAGCGGAAUUCCUAGUGUAGCGGUGAAAUGCGUAGAUAUUAGGAGGAACACCAGUGGCGAAGGCGGCUUACUGGACGGUAACUGACGUUGAGGCUCGAAAGCGUGGGGAGCAAACAGGAUUAGAUACCCUGGUAGUCCGCGCGGUAAACGAUGGAUGCCCGCUGUUGGGCCAACUGGUUCAGCGGCCAAGCGAAAGCAUUAAGCAUCCCACCUGGGGAGUACGCCGGCAACGGUGAAACUCAAAGGAAUUGACGGGGGCCCGCACAAGCGGAGGAACAUGUGGUUUAAUUCGAUGAUACGCGAGGAACCUUACCCGGGCUUGAAUUGCAGAGGAAGGAUUUGGAGACAAUGACGCCCUUCGGGGCCUCUGUGAAGGUGCUGCAUGGUUGUCGUCAGCUCGUGCCGUGAGGUGUCGGCUUAAGUGCCAUAACGAGCGCAACCCCUCUCCAUAGUUGCCAUCAGGUGAAGCUGGGCACUCUGUGGACACUGCCACCGUAAGGUGCGAGGAAGGUGGGGAUGACGUCAAAUCAGCACGGCCCUUACGUCCGGGGCUACACACGUGUUACAAUGGCAGGUACAGAGAGCCGGUCGUAUGCAAAUACGAUCCAAUCCUUAAAGCCUGUCUCAGUUCGGACUGGGGUCUGCAACCCGACCCCACGAAGCUGGAUUCGCUAGUAAUCGCGCAUCAGCCAUGGCGCGGUGAAUACGUUCCCGGGCCUUGUACACACCGCCCGUCAAGCCAUGAAAGCCGGGGGCGCCUGAAGUCCGUGACCGCAAGGAGCGGCCUAGGGCGAAACUGGUAAUUGGGGCUAAGUCGUAACAAGGUA
rnacentral:rRNA from 1 species